rnacentral:rRNA from 1 species
AGCGGCGGACGGGUGAGUAAUGUCUAGGAAUCUGCCUGAUAGUGGGGGAUAACGUCUGGAAACGAUCGCUAAUACCGCAUACGUCCUCCGGAAAGCAGGGGACCUUCGGGCCUUGCGCCAUCAGAUGAGCCUAGAUCGGAUUAGCUAGUAGGUGGGGUAAUGGCUCACCAAGGCGACGAUCCGUAGCUGGUCUGAGAGGAUGAUCAGUCACACUGGAACUGAGACACGGUCCAGACUCCUACGGGAGGCAGCAGUGGGGAAUAUUGCACAAUGGGCGCAAGCCUGAUCCAGCCAUGCCGCGUGUGUGAAGAAGGUCUUCGGUUGUAAAGCACUUUCAGGGAGGAAGGCCAGUAGCUUAAUACUGUUGACGUUACUGACAGAAUAAGCACCGGCUAACUCUGUGCCAGCAGCCGCGGUAAUACAGAGGGUGCAAGCGUUAAUCGGAAUUACUGGGCGUAAAGCGCGCGCAGGUGGUUUGUUAAGUCGAUGUGAAAUCCCCGGGCUCAACCUGGGAACUGCAUCCGAAACUGGCAAGCUAGAGUACGGUAGAGGGGGGUAGAAUUUCAGGUGUAGCGGUGAAAUGCGUAGUAGGAAGGAACACCAGUGGCGAAGGCGACCACCUGGA